GCCUGGAUGGUUCAGUUGGUAGAACAUGUGACUCUUGAUCACGGGGUUGUGGGUUCGAGCCCCAUGCUGGGUG